GCCAGACUCCUACGGGAGGCAGCAGUGGGGGAUAUUGGACAAUGGGGGGAACCCUGAUCCAGCGACGCCGCGUGAGUGAAGAAGUAUCUCGGUAUGUAAAGCUCUAUCAGCAGGGAAGAAAGAAAUGACGGUACCUGAGUAAGAAGCCCCGGCUAACUACGUGCCAGCAGCCGCGGUAAUACGUAGGGGGCAAGCGUUAUCCGGAAUUACUGGGUGUAAAGGGAGCGUAGACGGCAGCGCAAGUCUGAAGUGAAAUCCCAUGGCUUAACCAUGGAACUGCUUUGGAAACUGUGCAGCUGGAGUGCAGGAGAGGUAAGCGGAAUUCCUAGUGUAGCGGUGAAAUGCGUAGAUAUUAGGAGGAACACCAGUGGCGAAGGCGGUCUGCUGGACAGCAACUGACGCUGAGGCGCGAAAGCGUGGGGAGCAAACAGGAUUAGAUACCCGAGUA
rnacentral:rRNA from 1 species